rnacentral:rRNA from 1 species
UAAGCGGAGGAAAAGAAACUAACAAGGAUUCCCCUAGUAACUGCGAGUGAAGCGGGAAAAGCUCAAAUUUAAAAUCUGGUGGUCUUUGGCCAUCCGAGUUGUAAUCUAGAGAAGCGUCUUNCGCGCUGGACCGUGCACAAGUCUCCUGGAACGGAGCGUCGUAGAGGGUGAGAAUCCCGUCUUUGGCAUGGACACACAGGGCUUUUGUGAUGCGCUCUCGAAGAGUCGAGUUGUUUGGGAAUGCAGCUCAAAAUGGGUGGUGAACUCCAUCUAAAGCUAAAUAUUGGCGAGAGACCGAUAGCGAACAAGUACCGUGAGGGAAAGAUGAAAAGCACUUUGGAAAGAGAGUGAAACAGUACGUGAAAUUGUUGAAAGGGAAACGCUUGAAGUCAGUCGCGUCGACCGAGACUCAGCCUCGCCUCGGCUUGGUGUACUUCUUGGCCCGACGGGUCAGCAUCAAUUUCGCCUCUUGGAUAAUGGCGAGGGAAACGUGACACCUUUACGGUGUGUUAUAGUCUCUCGUCGCAUGCAAGGGUCGGGAUUGAGGAACUCAGCACGCGCCUUUGGGCGUCGGGGCUUUGCCUACGAUACGUGCUUAGGAUGUUGGCGUAAUGGCUUUAAACGACC